UUCGGUAUCCUGUGUUGCUUACCUAUCGAAAGGAAUCCGAUGGUUUCGUUAGUCCCUUUCCGCUCCCUGCCCUCACGGGUUUUGGGGUGGACAUCAGGCAAGCCUCGUGUUCCCGGCACGCUUCGCCCAGCUGCGUCGCUGCCUCGGCCCAUGAGGUGCAUUGCCCGUGCUCUCGGAUGCAGAAUGUUAUGUGCGGGUGCGGGGUCUAUUUAUUAGCUCCGUUUGCCCAAGCAACGCAUUUGUCCAUCGACACGAACGACUGCCGUGCCCGUCUUGAGCCCGCGGCCUUACGGCCUGCCGGGUCUCAUGCGGGCGUCGG
rnacentral:misc_RNA from 1 species